rnacentral:rRNA from 1 species
UACGUAGGGUGCGAGCGUUAAUCGGAAUUACUGGGCGUAAAGCGUGCGUAGGCGGUCCGCGAAGUCUGAUGUGAAAGCCCCGGGCUCAACCUGGGAACUGCAUUGGAAACUAACGGGCUCGAGUGUGGCAGAGGGGGGUGGAAUUCCACGUGUAGCAGUGAAAUGCGUAGAGAUGUGGAGGAACACCGAUGGCGAAGGCGGCAUCCUGGACCAAUUCUGACGCUGAGGAGCGAAAGCCAGGGGAGCAAACGGG